rnacentral:rRNA from 1 species
GACGUAGGGGCGGAGCGAUGUCCGAAGGUACUGGGCGUAAAGAGCGCGUAGGCGGCCUCUUAAGUUGGGUGCGAAAUCCUGCGGCCCAACCGCAGAACUGCAUCCAAAACUGGGAGGCUUGAGGACGGAAGAGGGCAGUGGAAUUCCUGGUGUAGCGGUGAAAUGCGUAAAUACCAGGAGGAACACCCGUGGCGAAGGCGGCUGCCUGGUCCGUAUCUGACGCUGAGGUGCGAAAGCCAGGGGAGCGAACGGG